rnacentral:rRNA from 1 species
GUAGUCCACGCUGUAAACGAUGGGUGCUAGCUGUUGGGAGGUUACCUCUCGGUGGCGUAGCUAACGCGUUAAGCACCCCGCCUGGGGAGUACGGUCGCAAGAUUAAAACUCAAAGAAAUUGACGGGGACCCGCACAAGCGGUGGAACAUGUGGUUUAAUUCGAGGCAACGCGAAGAACCUUACCAGGACUCGACUUGCCCUCCAACGGCCCCCGAAAAGGGGCCUUCACUUCGGGUGGGAGGAGCACAGGUGCUGCAUGGCUGUCGUCAGCUCGUGUCGUGAGAUGUUGGGUUAAGUCCCGCAACGAGCGCAACCCUCAUCCUCUGUUGCUAACAGGUAAUGCUGAGAACUCUGAGGAAACUGCCGGUGAUAAGCCGGA